GUGAGAAGAUUCCCUUGGGCAGGUCGCUGAUGUGGUUGCCAUCCAGGUAGAGGUAAGUGAGCUCGGUGAGGUCCUCGAAGGCACCUGGCUUGAUGCUGGUGAUCUCGUUGUUGGACAGGUAGAGGUAGAUUAGCUUCUUGAGUCCCUUGAAGGCCUGGCCGCCAAUCUCAUGGAGCUGGCAGUGCUGCAUGUGCAACGAGAUGAGACCCUUGCUGCUGGCGAAGGAGCCAGUGGGCAGGCUGCCCAGGUUGUUCCUUUGCAGGUUGAGCAGACGGGUGGCCUCGGACACCUGCGGGAUCUUCUUCAGCCCCACGUUGUCACAGAUGACAUGCUGCAGGUCCCCAUGGCAGUGACACUGAGCCGGGCACUGGCUGGGGGCGCCCCAAACAGCCGGGCCGAGGACCAGCAGGCAAGUCCCCACCAACAGGAAGCUCACACACGGCAUACUGACGCCACUACUCUGCUCAGUCUCUCCACCUGGUCUGUCUUCUGUCUUCUUGAGAGCUUCUUCUUACUGCUUGACAGGCACUCUAAGCUAGAAAUUCCUCCAGAAAGCCUCAGGGAGAUAGAAAGAGAGAGCAAAAGGAUUCAGAAAGGGAAGGCAAGAGGUGAAUGGUGUGAAAGAGGGGGAGAGUGAGAGUGCACGUGACUGAGAGAGGAGGGCAGUGCAAAAAAGAUUCACUCCAGGCUUUGAGAGGAGGAUGGAACGGCAGUCAACAGAACACAGCACUAUUUAUAACAUUUAUUUAAGGAAAAAAUUGAGAAGGGCUUGCCAGGGUGUUACGUGGAGACCGCGGGGCUGCAAGAGGAAGUCAAGUGUCUUUGACAGUUUAACCCUGCACAUGCCGGAGGACAGGUCGGGGAUCUUCCACUGACCAUAAUUGCCUAUGGAACUAUGGAGAACAGACCCGUGACAUUCUGUGGCUUCCCAUGAGACAACUUGGUGAGAAAGUCACAAACUUGGAUGCAUUACCAAUAACUUAGCGGCUAAGGUAGUUGACCCUGGCUCUGGAGAGCUCAAGCCUCUUCAGGGACUACUGUAUGAUGCUGGAGUACUCUGGGAAGGCCGUUGCCAAGACAGAUGAGUGCAUCACCAAAGAAUCAAAGCCAUUGUGUUGAACUCAAUUGUACCAACAUUUUUGCAGAACCCGUUGGACCAAUGUUAUGUUUUAGCAGGCACAGGUUAACAGGAAAGGGAGGCCAUGUACAGCAAAGUGCCUUACACAGCACAGUCAGCUAAACACCGACAGCCAAAAGAUUUUGCACUAUUUUUAGGACCAACCCUGAUUAUCUUGUGACAGCCUUGAAAACCACCUCAUCAAUCUGUGACUGUGACAAGCUGUGACAAUCUGUGACAAGCUGCUUUUUACACCAAAUAAAAGGUUUUACACUUUUUAGCCAUGUUACCAAAUCUCUAGGGACCAAGAGUUGAGAGUUGAAGGACCUCUACCUGCCUUUUUACAGUGCAUUUGGAAAGUAAUUCAGACCCUUUCACUUUCUCCUAAUGCUAAUCUUAUUCUAAAAUGUAUUAAAUCGUUUUUUUCUACACACA